rnacentral:sRNA from 1 species
UUUUUUUUCUGUUUAUUCCUCAUCAAAUUUGGGAAAGAACAAUUUUCUUCUACGAUUCCUCAAAAAAUAAGGAACGAUUAAGAAUAAUGUGAGGUCCACAUAUAAUAAUUUGGAGAA